rnacentral:rRNA from 1 species
UACGUAGGCAGCGAGCGUUGUUCGGAAUUACUGGGCGUAAAGAGUGUGUAGGCGGUGCUCUAAGUUCGGUGUGAAAUCUCCUGGCUUAACUGGGAGGGUGCGCCGGAAACUGGAGUGCUUGAGCGUGGGAGAGGAAAGCGGAAUUCCUGGUGUAGCGGUGAAAUGCGUAGAUAUCAGGAGGAACACCGGUGGCGAAGGCGGGUCUCUGGGCCGAUACUGACGCUGAGGAGCGAAAGCGUGGGGAGCGAACAGG